GAUGAACGCUGGCGGCGUGCCUAAUACAUGCAAGUCGAGCGAACAGACGAGGAGCUUGCUCCUCUGACGUUAGCGGCGGACGGGUGAGUAACACGUGGAUAACCUACCUAUAAGACUGGGAUAACUUCGGGAAACCGGAGCUAAUACCGGAUAAUAUAUUGAACCGCAUGGUUCAAUAGUGAAAGACGGUUUUGCUGUCACUUAUAGAUGGAUCCGCGCCGCAUUAGCUAGUUGGUAAGGUAACGGCUUACCAAGGCAACGAUGCGUAGCCGACCUGAGAGGGUGAUCGGCCACACUGGAACUGAGACACGGUCCAGACUCCUACGGGAGGCAGCAGUAGGGAAUCUUCCGCAAAGGGCGAAAGCCUGACGGAGCAACGCCGCGUGAGUGAUGAAGGUCUUCGGAUCGUAAAACUCUGUUAUUAGCGAAGAACAAAUGUGUAAGUAACUAUGCACGUCUUGACGGUACCUAAUCAGAAAGCCACGGCUAACUACGUG
rnacentral:rRNA from 1 species